UAUGCCACGCUUCUCGGCAAAGUCUUUGACCAUAGCGAUUGUUUGUGGCAAUUACUUUUAGAAUACUUACUUUAGAGUAAUUACUUUAGAGUACUUAAUUAACUCUAAAGUAAUUACCACAAACAAUCGCUAUGGUCAAAGACUUUGCCUAGAAGCGUGGCAUAUAAAUAUG
rnacentral:miRNA from 1 species